rnacentral:ncRNA from 1 species
UCUUACCCUGCUCUCCGAGCCUUGCCGCCUACCGGAAAUCUCUCAUGGCGACCGGCCGACGGGUUGCGUUGGAAACGGCGCAGCCUCCCUUUCGGAAAGGAGAUGCGUUUUUUGUCUA